rnacentral:lncRNA from 1 species
UUGAAUUUUUGUACGUGGGAAGGUUCCAACGCCCACAGAUUAGCCAUGGGCAUGGUGUUACUGAAACAAGCAGGACUGUGCGGUGAAGUAUCGAAGAGGGAGAGACUGCUGCGUAAGCAUCCACAAUGCCAUCAUCUAAUCUGAAGAAGCUCAAAAGAAGAUGGAGGAGGUCAGCGAACGGACUGCUGAACUGUUUCAUGUUCUGCUGCCAAAGGACUGUUCGGAGGCAUGGAAUCCAAAUUCCUGGUUGGUAUCCAUGCUGAGAUUGUGGAGACUCAUGGGAUGGGAGAAAUGGUUGGUGUGAAUGGCAAUAGCUGUGAGCACCCACCUGGUUGUCUGCUCUUAAUGAGCACAUAACCUGGUGUUCUAUUCUUAAUGAGCACCCGCCUGG